UGAAUACGAGAUGCUACGGCGUCGAAGCAGUCUAUGUCAUACUUCCAAGAAAAGCUUGCACUGUCAUAAACAAAUAAUGCCUGUACCAUAACCGACACAGGUGGGUAGGUAGAGUAUACUAAGGGGCGCGAGUUAACUCUCUCUAAGGAACUCGGCAAAAUGACUCCGUAACUUCGGGAGAAGGAGUGCCUUAUUUAUAAGGUUGCAAUAACAAGAUCCAAGCAACUGUUUACCAAAAACACAGGUCUCCGCUAAGUCGUAAGACGAUGUAUGGGGGCUGACGCCUGCCCAGUGCCAGAAGGUUAAAGAAGUUGGUUAGCAUCCGCGAAGCUGAUAACUGAAGCCCUGGUGAACGGCGGCCGUAACAAUAACGGUCCUAAGGUAGCGAAAUUCCUUGUCGGGUAAGUUCCGACCCGCACGAAAGGCGUAAUGAUUUGGAUACUGUCUCGGAGAGGGGCUCGGUGAAAUAGACUUGUCUGUGAAGAUGCGGACUACCUGCACCAGGACAGAAAGACCCUAUGAAGCUUUACUGUAACCUGAAAUUGAAAUUGGACUUUACUUGCGCAGUAUAGGUGGGAGGCGUUGAGAAUAUUCUUGCGGGAUUAUUGGAGCCAUCAGUGAGAUACCACUCUUGUAAUGUUAGAUUUCUAACUUUGUAUCAUUAUCUGGUCAAAGAACAGUUUCAGGCGGGCAGUUUGACUGGGGCGGUCGCCUCCUAAACGGUAACGGAGGCGCACAAAGGUUUCCUCUGAACGGGUAGAAAUCGUAUCUAGAGUGUAAAGGCAUAAGGAAGCUUGACUGUGAGACCUACAAGUCGAGCAGGGACGAAAGUCGGUCUUAGUGAUCUGACGGCGCUGAGUGGAAAGGCCGUCACUCAACGGAUAAAAGUUACUCUAGGAUAACAGGCUGAUCUCCCCCAAGAGUUCACAUCGACGGGGAGGUUUGGCACCUCGAUGUCGGCUCAUCGCAUCCUGGGGCGGUAGUACGUCCCAAGGGUUGGGCUGUUCGCCCAUGAAAGCGGUACGCGAGCUGGGUUCAGAACGUCGUGAGACAGUUCGGUCCAUAUCCGGUGUAGGCGUUAGAAUAUUGAGAGGAGCCUUCUUUAGUACGAGAGGACCGAGAAGGACAUACCUCUGGUGUACCAGUUAUCGUGCCAACGGUAAACGCUGGGUAGCUACGUGUGGAGUGGAUAACCGCUGAAAGCAUCUAAGUGGGAAGCCCACCUCAAGAUAAG
rnacentral:rRNA from 1 species